rnacentral:rRNA from 1 species
UCGGAAUUACUGGGCGUAAAGCGCAUGCAGGUGGUUUGUUAAGUCAGAUGUGAAAGCCCUGGGCUCAACCUAGGAAUCGCAUUUGAAACUGACAAGCUAGAGUACUGUAGAGGGGGGUAGAAUUUCAGGUGUAGCGGUGAAAUGCGUAGAGAUCUGAAGGAAUACCGGUGGCGAAGGCGGCCCCCUGGACAGAUACUGACACUCAGAUGCGAAAGCGUGGGGAGCAAACAGGAUUAGAUACCCUGGUAGUCCACGCCGUAAACGAUGUCUAC